UCGAGAAUCUUCCGCAAUGGGCGAAAGCCUGACGGAGCGACGCCGCGUGGAGGACGAAGGCCUUCGGGUUGUAAACUCCUGUCACGGAUUAAGAAUGUCGUGCGGUGAAUAGUCGUACGAUUGACGUAAGUCCGAGAGGAAGCACUGGCUAACUCUGUGCCAGCAGCCGCGGUAAUACAGAGAGUGCAAACGUUGUUCGGAAUUACUGGGCUUAAAGCGCACGUAGGCGGCGCCGCAAGUGUGGGGUGAAAGCCCACGGCUUACCCGUGGAAUUGCCUGGCAGACUGCGGUGCUAGAGUGUGGUAGGGGAGAGCGGAACUCCUGGUGGAGCGGUGAAAUGCGUAGAUAUCAGGAGGAACACCGGUGGCGAAGGCGGCUCUCUGGUCCACAACUGACGCUGAGGUGCGAAAGCUAGGGGAGCAAACGGGAUUAGAUACCCUUGUAGUCCCUGAGCGGGCUGGCAAGGCGCAU
rnacentral:rRNA from 1 species